UACGGAAGGCAGCAGUGGGGAAUAUUGCACAAUGGGCGAAAGCCUGAUGCAGCUAUGCCGCGUGUAUGAAGAAGGCCUUAGGGUUGUAAAGUACUUUCAUCGGGGAGGAAAAAACAAAACUAAUAAUUUUAUUUCUUGACGUUACCCGAAAAAGAAGCACCGGCUAACUCCGUGCCAGCAGCCGCGGUAAUACGGAGGGUGCUAGCGUUAAUCAGAAUUACUGGGCGUAAAGAGCACGUAGGUGGUUUUUUUAAAGUCAGAUGUGAAAUCCCUGGGCUUAAACCUGGAACUGCAUUUUGAAACUGAAAUACUAGAGUAUCGUAGAGGGAGGUAGAAUUCUAGGUGUAGCGGUGAAAUGCGUAGAUAUCUGGAGGAAUACCUGUGGCGAAAGCGGCCUCCUAAACGAAUACUGACACUGAGGUGCGAAAGCGUGGGGAGCAAACAGGGAUUAGAU
rnacentral:rRNA from 1 species